GACGAACGCUGGCGGCGUGCCUAACACAUGCAAGUCGAGCGAUGAAGCUCCUUCGGGAGUGGAUUAGCGGCGGACGGGUGAGUAACACGUGGGUAACCUGCCUCAUAGAGAGGGAUAGCCUUCCGAAAGGAAGAUUAAUACCUCAUAAGAUUGUAGUUUCGCAUGAAACGGCAAUAAAAGGAGCAAUCCGCUAUGAGAUGGACCCGCGUCGCAUUAGCUAGUUGGUAAGGUAAUGGCUUACCAAGGCGACGAUGCGUAGCCGACCUGAGAGGGUGAUCGGCCACAUUGGGACUCAGACACGGCCCAGAAUCCUACGGGAGGCAGCAGUGGGGAAUAUUGCACAAUGGGGGAAACCCUGAUGCAGCAACGCCGCGUGAGUGAUGACGGUCUUCGGAUUGUAAACCUCUGUCUUUGGGGACGAUAAUGACGGUACCCAAGGAGGAAGCCACGGCUAACUACGUGCCAGCCGCCGCAGUAACAC
rnacentral:rRNA from 1 species